rnacentral:rRNA from 1 species
UGCCCGAAGGGUGACGAAGCGACGCCGCGUGGGUGAGGAAGGCCUUCGGGUUGUAAAGCCCUGUCAGGAGUUAAGAAAUGUAGACUCGCUAAUAUCGGGUCUAUUUGACAAAGGCUCCAAAGGAAGCCACGGCUAACUCUGUGCCAGCAGCCGCGGUAAUACAGAGGUGGCAAGCGUUGUUCGGAAUUAUUGGGCGUAAAGAGCACGUAGGUGGAUUUGUAAGUCAGACGUGAAAGCCUUCUGUUCAACGGAAGAAUUGCAUCUGAAACUACAAACCUUGAGUGUAGGAGGGGAGAAUGGAACUUCUGGUGGAGCGGUGAAAUGCGUAGAUAUCGGAAGGAACGCCGGCGGCGAAAGCGAUUCUCUGGCCUAUUACUGACACUCAGUGUGCGAAAGCUAGGGGAGCAAACGGGAUUAGAUACCCCGGUAGUCCUAGCCGUAAACGAUGGGCACUAAGUAGAGGGG